rnacentral:lncRNA from 1 species
UUCCAACCGACUGCGCUAAACCGGACAACAAAGGAUUGCGCGCGCCCAGAACACCUGAAAAAGAAAUAAACAACGUCAAGAACCAAAAGAGAAGAAAAAAUGGGAUGGCCCCCGUCGUCUUUACAGCCGCGACGAGCCACCGACGCCCGGUCGAUGACGAUAGAGCAAAAAAAAGUCGACGGUUCGCAGUUGCCGUCCACACAGAACCCCCAAAAGACCCUCCCGCUAUAGUCCCUUGUUGAUCAAACAAAUGUACAGCGACCAAAAGGCCCACACGGGCCAAAAAAGACCGGUCGUCGUCGGUUUUUCUUUUGCGAGGAAAAAAAAAGGUUUUUUGAUUUGCC